UGUGUUUGUGCUCGUGGUACGGUCGUCGUCGGCGCGGGCUCGUUGAGGUCACGAGCGUCGGCGGCCUGCGACGGCAGACGCGCUUCCCGGCGGCGGGCGCGGAGGAUGGCGUCGUGCGGCCGGUUCGCGGGUACCGUAGUGGGCUCGAGUGGAGGGUCGGCAACAAGAGGAAGUCUAAGCAGCCCUAGGCCAACCUAGGCCUACGGUCGCGGGGCAAGGCUGGAGGGGCGGAGCGAACCCAGCAGCCGGUGGAGCUGCUGCAGUAUGGCGAACGCCCUAGGUUGCGGUGGCGACCGGCCGGUGAAGGAGCGGACCUCCUCUGCGGGGGUGUAGCCGUGGAAGGUUGUGCUCGUCGUCGUCGCUUGCGGAGCGAUUCCGCAGAGGUCACCACAGAAAAAUAAAAUGUAACAAAAUUUCUUCAAACGGUCUAGGCACGGUCUUUUUGUUACCGCUACUUGAGGCUAACUGUAGGGCGCUUCCCAGCCGCCGCGAACUACACCACCGACGUCUUAUCGAGGCCCGUUUUCAUCAUCCGGUCUAAACCUUUUUUUUAGACAUUAAGGUUCAAAAAACAACACAUAAAGAAGGAAAACCAUUUUUAUUUUAAA
rnacentral:rRNA from 1 species